UACGUAGGCAGCGAGCGUUGUUCGGAGUUACUGGGCGUAAAGAGUGCGUAGGCGGUUUUCUAAGUUUGGUGUGAAAUCUCCCGGCUUAACUGGGAGGGUGCGCCGAAAACUGGAAGGCUUGAGUAUGGGAGAGGUAAGCGGAAUUCCUGGUGUAGCGGUGAAAUGCGUAGAUAUCUGGAGGAACACCGGUGGCGAAGGCGGCAUUCUGGACCGACAUUGACGCUGAGGAGCGAAAGCCAGGGGAGCAAACAGG
rnacentral:rRNA from 1 species